rnacentral:lncRNA from 1 species
GGAAAAUCAAGGCCACGUACCAACCCAUACCAGAGCAACGUAUGCAUAGUCAAUAGAUUUUUGUCAGCAUAUUAUUCUUCUGGUUGUUUAUUCAGAAACAUGUCUCAGGCACCAGUUAUGCAUUACCCAGAGUGAGGCCAUCUCUUGGGACAUGGAGCUGAGAGGCAGUGUCCACUGUGGUUACUUUGGUGAUCAUUACUAAUAAUAAUGAUAUGAAGUCUUCAUCUUUGAGGAAUGCUCAGUAUAGCAGCAGGAAAACAUGUACAGGAAUAAAGUUUGUGCUCACAUACUUUUGCUGUGUUUCAGUAUUAAAAAGGCAAAAUUGAUGAAGCCUACAUGAAGAGAAUAAGGAUGGCUGCCAGGGAAUAGAUGAAAGGCAGAAGUGGCGAUGGGUGACUGAUGUGGCACACUUAUGAAGAAGAGCCUCUUUUUCCAUGCUUGUUUUUCCUCCCCAAGGAGCCAACAGAGUUUCUAUUCUCCAACUCUGCUCUUAACCUUACCCAAGGUCAUUGCAGUCACCUGGACUCACGGAAAUGACCAUGAUUGCCUGAACUUUCAUAACUUCUGUGGAUAACUGUGGUUGCAAAAAAGAGAAAACCUGGACCGUGAGGGACAUUUCACUUCCUGGGCUUUGGUACAUGGUUCAUGUGUGGUUGGAUGUGUGUUG